rnacentral:pre_miRNA from 10 species
ACACACACACACAUAUAUAUGUGUGUGUGUGUGAUAUACACACACACACACAUAUAUAUGUGUGUGUGUGUG